rnacentral:rRNA from 1 species
GACGAACGCUGGCGGCGUGCCUAAUACAUGCAAGUAGAACGCUGAAGAGAGGAGCUUGCUCUUCUUGGAUGAGUUGCGAACGGGUGAGUAACGCGUAGGUAACCUGCCUUGUAGCGGGGGAUAACUAUUGGAAACGAUAGCUAAUACCGCAUAACAAUGGAUGACACAUGUCAUUUAUUUGAAGGGGGCAAUUGCUCCACUACAAGAUGGACCUGCGUUGUAUUAGCUAGUAGGUGAGGUAAUGGCUCACCUAGGCGACGAUACAUAGCCGACCUGAGAGGGUGAUCGGCCACACUGGGACUGAGACACGGCCCAGACUCCUACGGGAGGCAGCAGUAGGGAAUCUUCGGCAAUGGGGGCAACCCUGACCGAGCAACGCCGCGUGAGGGAAGAAGGUUUUCGGAUCGUAAAGCUCUGUUGUAAGUCAAGAACGGGUGUGAGAGUGGAAAGUUCACACUGUGACGGUAGCUUACCAGAAAGGGACGGCUAACUACGUG